rnacentral:rRNA from 1 species
GUAGUUGGAUCACGCAGCAGUGCCCAGUAAUCUACUAGUUGACGUUCCAUUGGAACCCACCUCGGUGGCCUUUCAGGAGCGUCGGUAGCAGAUACUAACGCUGAGCACUGUUAGUUGCACGUGAGAUGAAUUGUUGGCCUUUAUUGAGCCUGUAUUCUCGUCUUGCGGAGUGUGCCUUGAAUAAAACAGAGUGCUUAAAGCAGGUCGUUGCCUGAAUGUUAUAGCAUGGAACGAACAAUCGUGUAUAUGUGUGCACCCUUGACCGGUGACGAGCCUUAGGCUUGUUGUUGGUCUGGGUGCAUACGGCACCCACCUAAAUAUGGCUGUUGGUUCCAUAUACGGUGAUGAUUAAAAGGAGCGGUUGGGGGCAUCGGUAUUUGGCCGCGAGAGGUGAAAUUCUUAGACCGGCCARGGACUAACAAAUGCAAAGGCACUUGUCUAGACCGUUUCCAUUAAUCAAGAACGAAAGUGGGAGGUUCGAAGACGAUCAGAUACCGUCCUAGUUCCCACCGUAAACUAUGCCGACCUGGGAUCAGUUUAGAGAUGUUACAAGCUCUAGAUUGGUCCCCUGGGAAACCUCAAGUUUUUCGGUUACGGGAGAGUAUGGUCGCAAGGCUGAAACUUAAAGGAAUAGAGAGAAGGCACCACCAGGGGUGGAGCCUGCGGCUUAAUUUGACUCAACACGGGGAAACUUACCUGGUCCGGAAUUA